rnacentral:misc_RNA from 1 species
CGCAUAUUGCACCUUAGAGUAUUCUUUAAGGUAUACCUGUUUGAGCGUCGUUUAGAACAUAAAGCAUUGCUUUUUGUUAGAUUUUGGUUAGCUAGUAACCAAUUUCUUAAACAAAGUGGCAUCGAUUUAUUGAUUAAUACACAGCGAAAUGUGUACUUGUUGAUCAAAUUGGUUUGCCAGUUGAUGAAUAUAUCUUGUUGUUCGACCUCAAAUCAAGUAAGGCUACCCGCUGAACUUAA